GAUGAACGCUGGCGGCGUGCCUAAUACAUGCAAGUCGAGCGAACGGACGAGAAGCUUGCUUCUCUGAUGUUAGCGGCGGACGGGUGAGUAACACGUGGAUAACCUACCUAUAAGACUGGGAUAACUUCGGGAAACCGGAGCUAAUACCGGAUAAUAUUUUGAACCGCAUGGUUCAAAAGUGAAAGACGGUCUUGCUGUCACUUAUAGAUGGAUCCGCGCUGCAUUAGCUAGUUGGUAAGGUAACGGCUUACCAAGGCAACGAUGCAUAGCCGACCUGAGAGGGUGAUAGGCGACACUGGAACUGAGACACGGUCCAGACUCCUAAGGGAGGCAGCAGUAGGGAAUCUGCCGCAAUGGGCGAAAGCCUGACGGAGCAACGCCGCGUGAGUGAUGAAGGUCUUCGGAUCGUAAAACUCUGUUAUGAGGGAAGAACAUAUGUGUAAGUAAAUGUGCACAUCUUGACGGUACCUAAUCAGAAAGCAACGGCUAACUACGUG
rnacentral:rRNA from 1 species